UGUUUGUGGUGCAAUGCUGCAUAAAGUUUUUCGAACUAAAAACAAACUUUUGAAACUUUCUUCUAUCCAUAAAAUUAAAAGAAAUGCCUUUAUGUGAAAACCGCCAUAUUGAGUAAAUAGUUACUUACUUAUCGCAAAGGCAAACAAAAAACCUUAAUGUUUUUUCGAGACAAACAUAAAAGAACAGAAAACUAGCUGCCUGACAUCUAACAUGAAGAGAUGAAGCAAAUUCCCUAAUAUCCUGGUCUUUCGGUACCAAGUUGUAACGUUUCGCCCUACCGCCUGCCUACUUAACUCCUACCUAUUGGAUUUACUAAGAAGAUAUUUGAAACUACAACAAAACUUACUUGAGUGAAAUAAAAGUGAAACAAAUACUGCUUUGAAUUGGCCAUGAAACAUCCAGGGAAACCCUACGUUGUGUUGUAACCCAAUAAACGAAAGAUAGUGAAUUAAAUAAAACUAUGACCUAGAACUGAUUACAUACUUCCUACCUGCCAAUAAUUAUUGACUUAUAUACUACAACUUUGAUGUAUAACUUUUAUUUGUACGAUAAAUACAUAUUUACAGGUAAGUACAUAAAGAUAAUAAUAUAGAUAAUAAUGUUU